UACGGAGGAUGCAAGCGUUAUCCGGAAUUAUUGGGCGUAAAGCGUCCGCAGGUGGCUAUGUAAGUCUGCUGUUAAAGAGUGAGGCUCAACCUCAUAAGAGCAGUGGAAACUACAUGGCUAGAGUCCGGAAGAGGAGAGUGGAAUUCCUGGUGUAGCGGUGAAAUGCGCAGAUAUCAGGAAGAAUAUCCGUGGCGAAGGCGGCUCUCUGGGACGGUACUGACGCUGAGACGCGAAAGCGUGGGGAGCGAACAGG
rnacentral:rRNA from 1 species